GGAGCUCUCCCAUAUGGUCGACCUGCAGGCGGCCGCGAAUUCACUAGUGAUUGUUUGAUCCUGGCUCAGAUUGAACGCUGGCGGCAGGCUUAACACAUGCAAGUCGAACGGUAACAGAGAAUAGCUUGCUAUUUUGCUGACGAGUGGCGGACGGGUGAGUAAUGCUUGGGAAUUUGCCGAAAGGUGGGGGACAACAGUUGGAAACGACUGCUAAUACCGCAUAAUGUCUACGGACCAAAGGUGGCCUCUAUUUAUAUGCUAUCGCCUUUCGAUGAGCCCAAGUGGGAUUAGCUAGUUGGUAAGGUAAUGGCUUACCAAGGCGACGAUCCCUAGCUGGUCUUAGAGGAUGACCAGCCACACUGGAACUGAGACACGGUCCAGACUCCUACGGGAGGCAGCAGUGGGGAAUAUUGCACAAUGGGGGAAACCCUGAUGCAGCCAUGCCGCGUGUGUGAAGAAGGCUUUCGGGUUGUAAAGCACUUUCAGCGAGGAGGAAAGGGUGAUGGCUAAUAUCCAUUAUCUGUGACGUUACUCGCAGAAGAAGCACCGGCUAACUCCGUGCCAGCAGCCGCGGUAAUACGGAGGGUGCAAGCGUUAAUCGGAAUUACUGGGCGUAAAGCGCGCGUAGGUGGUUAAUUAAGUCAGAUGUGAAAGCCCAGGGCUCAACCUUGGAACUGCAUUUGAAACUGGUUGACUAGAGUUUUGUAGAGGGUGGUAGAAUUUCAGGUGUAGCGGUGAAAUGCGUAGAGAUCUGAAGGAAUACCAGUGGCGAAGGCGGCCACCUGGACAAAGACUGACACUGAGGCGCGAAGGCGUGGGGGAGCAAACGGGAUUAGAUACCCCGGUAGUCCACGCA
rnacentral:rRNA from 1 species